AGCAGUCGCCACGGUAACACCAGCAGCCCAAGUGGUGGUCGCGAUUAUUGGGCCUAAAGCGCUCGCAGCCGGGCCGGUAAGUCCCUUGUGAAAUCGGACGGCCUAACCGUUCGGCGUGCAAGGGAUACUGUCGGUCUUGAGGCCGGGAGACGUCCGAGGUACUCCGGGGGUAGCGGUGAAAUGUUCUGAUCCUCGGGGGACCACCGGUGGCGAAGGCGUUCGACGAGAACGGGCCUGACGGUGAGGGGCGAAGGCUAGGGGAGCAAACGGGAUUAGAUACCCGCGUAGUCCCUGUCUCUUAUA
rnacentral:rRNA from 1 species